AACGAACGCUGGCGGCAUGCCUAACACAUGCAAGUCGAACGAGACCUUCGGGUUUAUUGGCGCACGGGUGCGUAACGCGUGGGAACCUGCCCUUAGGUUCGGAAUAACUCCCCGAAAGGGGUGCUAAUACCGGUUAAUGUCUUCGGACCAAAGAUUUAUCGCCUUUGGAUGGGGCCGCGUUAGAUUCGGUGGUUGGUAGGGUAAAAGCCUACCAAGGGGACGAUCCAUAGCUGGUCUGAGAGGAGGACCAGGCACACUGGGACUGAGACACGGCCCAGACUCCUACGGGAGGGAGCAGUGGGGAAUAUUGGACAAGGGGCGAAAGUCUGAUCCAGCAGUGCCGCGUGAGUGAUGAAGGCCUUAGGGUUGUAAAGCUCUUUUACCCGGGAUGAUAAUGACAGUACCGGGAGAAUAAGCUCCGGCUAACUCCGUG
rnacentral:rRNA from 1 species